ACCUGGCUUGGAGGCUAAGUCUCUCAACGUCAGGUCCAUACACCGAGGAUUUGUCGAUCAGGUCAAGAUCGGCGGUCAACGACUUUCCGGUAGGGUCAACACGCCCCGAUCUAACUCGGUAUCCAUAUCCGACGGCCGAGUUUUCUCUCUGCUCGCCGGCGGCGAACGGGAGAGAUGCAGUUAGACGAAAGAAGCAAGUGAAAAGGAAGAGUACGACGGCGGAGAGUAAACGACGGCGACGGAGAAAAGCUUGGAGAGAUUUGGAACCAGUCGCCAUUCUUGUCGAGCUGUAAGAGAAUAUGAAUAAAAGACGUGUGUCCGUGCAUCCACUCGAAAAUACCUGCCUAUAGGAUGGUAUUGCCUCUCUAAGAAGUUCGUGAGGUGCCGCUAUAGCUAAAUAAG